GUACCCUCAAGCUUUGCUUGGUGUUGGGCGUUUUGUCUGUUUAUUCAGACUCGCCUUAAAGUAAUUGGCAGCCAGUGUUUUUGGUAGUAAGCGCAGCACAUUUUGCGUCUUAGUCUCUAAACAGUGGCAUCCAUGAAGCCUCUUUCUCAC
rnacentral:misc_RNA from 1 species